CUGCACUAGCCAUGAUGAAAGCAUCUUUCUCCACAGCCGCAUUUCUAACUUGCUUCUGAUUUAGAUAGUUCCUCCAGAAUCGCUAAGGGAAAUGAAAAGAGAAAAUGGCUGUCACAUUACCACUCGUUAAAUAGAAGAGUAAAAUGGCUCUUUCAUAUGGAGAAUCUCUUUCUCAUCCUACCUGAAUAAUAACAGACGCCUGUCUCAAGUGAAGGAACUGCUGCCUAGAGAGCAAGACCCUGAACCACCGCUGCAGCAGUAUGAUUCUGCGAAGCACUUCCUGAUGAAGCAGAUCCUAAAAAUCUUUGAUUCUUGGACCUACAACCUAACUCCCUUCCUCAAUACUGUGGCUUCUUAAGCAUAAGAAUCAUAUCACACCAAUGAUCUUGUAAUUCACUCUGAUCCUUCAACAACAAUCUGGAAAAAAAGAAAACAUUGUAUUUGGAAUGAGUAAAAUAGGUAAUAACCUGAAACUGGGCGCUGAUACUGGGAGGUUUCUUCUUCUUAUGCAAAUGAAGAAGAGAUUUGGUAAUUCGAUCCUGAAGGGUCAGUCUGGUCAGAUGUUUCAAAGAAUUUACCUCCAGCAAGUGCUAAAGUCAAGGAAAAAACAUUAUACAGCUAUAUAUUUCUGUGAUAUAUAUAAAACAUAUAAUAAAACAGACAGUUUUCAUUAUUUCCAAUUGUGAGAAAUGUUUUUCUAUCAAAAGUGCUAGUUUGAUAAGGGCUCUACCCCUUUUCCUCCGUGUUGAUUAAUCAAUCAUAUGUGAAGCCCACUGCUCAUCAAUGAUAUGAGACACACCUACAUGAAGGAUAUAAGACAAAGCUAGAUCUGCGUUCUGGCAUGCCCUUCAACUUUCAUCCUGUUUGAAACAAUUCCUUAUUCUGUUACUACUAUACCAGACAGACCACGAGCUUCUGGGGAUUCUUCUGUCCCAACUUCCCAUCUUGCUGUACAAACAUUAGCAAUAUAGAUGCACACUACUUACUAGACGCAAUCAUAUGUAGGUUCCUGGGAUUUAAAUGCAGGGCUUUGGGCUUAUGCAACAAGUACUUUUACUCACUGACUUACCUUUCAAGCCUAUCACUUUUUAAAAUGAUAUUUAAUGCAAAUUUGAUUACUUUUCAUUCAUUUGAUUACUAAGUAAGGCUCUUUACGUAGCACAAAUAGCAUGACAUCUCAAGCUUCAUUUUUUUAAUUCAACAUUGCUUUGACUAUUGGGGAACUUUGUGUAUUUCUGUUAAAACUAUUUUUCCCACAUUUGUGUAAAGUGACAUGAAUAUUAUAGGGACUGCAUCCCAGACAUAAAUCUAUCAGUUACAAUAGUUCCUAGAGAUUAUCUUUGUAUUUUUUUUCUAAGCCAUGAAUUGGAAAGCUUACUUUCCAUUUGUUAUGUUAUUUUCCAUUUGUUUCAUCAAUAUUUUACAAUUUUCUAUAGACAGAUCUUUCACUUCCAUAUUAAUUUUACUACAUUCUAUUUUAUGAAGCUAUUAUAAAUAAUUGCUUUUAUAAUUUUUUCAGAUAGUAGAGUUAUUAGUCUAUUAAUGCGUGAUGUUUUUACAUUAUAUUUGUGUUGUCAAACUUUUCUGAAUUCACGUACUAUUUCUAACAGCUCUUUAGAGACUAAUCUAAUAACAUGUCACAAGCUAACAGAGACUAUUUCACUGCUUCUUUUACAAGUUGGGUGACUUUUGUUUCUUUUUACUGCCUAAUUUCUCUGGUCCAAACAAGUGGCAUAAGAAGACAUCUGUGUUGUGAUGGUUUGUAUAUGCUUGGCCCAGGGAAUGGCACUAUUAGGAGGUGUGGUCUUGGAGUGGGUGUGUCACUGUGGGCCUGGGCUUAAGACCCUCAUACUAGCUGCCUGGAAGCUAGUCUUCUCCUAGCUUCAAAUGAAGAUAUAAAACUCUCAUCUCCUCUAGCACCAUGCCUGCCUGGAUGCUGCCAUGCUUCCGCCUUGAUAAUACUGGACUGAACCUCUGAACCUGUUAAAUGUUGUCCUUAUAACAGUUGUCUUGAUCAUGGUGUCUGUUCACACAGCAAUAAAACCCUAACUAAGACAUGUGUCAUAACCCUAUUUUUUCCCCAUUUGGUAAGAACUGCCUGGCUACCAAAUACAUGGCCUUCAGCAGGGACCAAAAACCCUACCAUUCAGUUUUAUCCUUUAUGUAUACAUGUUACUAAUUAGCAACAAUUGUAUGCAGCCUGAAAAAUGGCUUGUAGUAUUUUUAACAAGGCAUACAUAUAUCAUGCUCUAAUCUCUCUGAGUUUUAAUCUGAAACAAUUUGUCUCCAUUUUGAAAGGCAGGAUGGCUAAGUGGAGGAGGGAGGGGAAUAUAUAUACAAGAAGAUACAGUUUUUAAAUUUUUAUCUUACUAUUUUGAUUAUAUUAUGUCUUGUAUAGGUCUCUCUAGAUUUGUAUUAUUUAAUGCCUUGGCUCUGGAUUGUUAUUUACUCCCUAGACUUGGGACCCUUCCUGUCAUCAUUUCUUUGAAAUGUCUUCUGUCCCUUUCUUUCUGUCUUCAGAUACACCAAUAAUAUGCAGAUUCUUCCAUUUGAUGGUGUCUCUUAAGUCCCUCAGGCCAUUUUCAGCCUUUCUUCUCCUUAAUCUAGUCUGCUAAUGAAUCCCUCUGCUCAAUUCCUAAACUUCUGCUUACACUGUAUCUCUUAUUUUGGAAAGGAAAUGCAAUAAAAAAUGAAUCCCUUGAAUACCUGCUUAAAGCCCCUCCCUGUGGUCUAAAGCCAUGGUUCUCAACCUUCCUAAUGCUAUGACCCUUUAAUUCAGUUCCUCAUGUUCUGGUGACCUCACCCACAAAAUUAUUUUUGUUACUACUUCAUAACAGUAAUUUUGCUUUUAUGAGGAAUAAUAUAAAUAUCCAAUAUGUAGGAUACCUAAUAUGUGACCCCCAGGUUGAAAACCACUGGUCUAGAAACACUCAGGAAUUUGGAAUCUAUAAAUUCCCAGAGGUAGGAAACUGAGAAGUCCUUCCUUUGGGUGAGUACAGUAGAAGUAUAAGAUCCAGUGUACAGAUGAACUUAUUCCAGAGAUAUUAAAGACCUGACCUUGUCUCCAGAACAAGUAAGGGGAAAGACCCAGGAUAUAUGUACUCUUACAAGGCUCCCAGGAGUUUACUGCAUCUACAAUGCAGACUAGAUCUAAGACCAAACCAGCACCUCACCCCUGACUUUAAAAAAAGUAAAAAAAAAUUCUCAUUGUUUUAAAUAUAAAAAUCAAAUUCAAUGACAGUGAUCAUAAAUGAAGUUCUGUCAGCAUAUGACCAUCCUUGUUCAAUUUCAUAUUAUCUAAAAUUGUAUGUAUACUACAACAGCAGACCUAAGUACUUACAACAGACUAUUUAACUCUGCAUAGAAAUACUGUGUAACUUCUGUAAUACAUGAGUUACAUAACGACUAACAAGAAAUGUUCUCGGAAUUCAGGUUUUCACAUUAAGCUGGCUCGAGAAAAAUGAAAAGUACCAACUAUAUAAAACAGAACUUCAAAUUCAGAGCUUUUAUAAAAACUAGAGAAUGGUAUUUGUCACAAGUAAUUAUCUAUCUGAACUAUUAGGCUUUUCCAUUUCCUAACAGACUUUGUUAUUUUUAAGAUGGAUUCCAGAAGUACAUCUAGUCUCUACUUUGGAAAUAAAUAAGGUUUUUCUUAUACUUGAUCUAUAAACAUUGGUGGCACAAAUAAUAAAAAUUAGUUAGUCAAUAAGGAAAUAAUAGUUUCUUCCACAGUACUCACCUUUGGAAGAACAGGUUUUGACCUGAAAUUUUUGUUUCUCCUAUAACAACAAAACAUUCAUUAGAAGAAGAAAAAUAAAAAACCUACAGUAUAAAUGAGUGAUAAAAGAGCCUUCUCGGGGCAAUUAAACUCCUCCUUCAGAGAAUGUGGGCCCUCUGUAAAAACUUUAUCUGACUCAGUCAAGCAGGUAUCACUGAGAAAAAAACUAAGAGAAGACAAGAUAUGGAGGGAGUACCAGCCCUGUACCUUGGGAAUAAGAAGAGUUGAGCCUGAAGAUUAGUGAUGUGGGGCUGUACUUUUGAACCCUAAGUUUUGAUUUCUUGUAUAUAGUUAGGGUUCUAUUUUCCAACACUUAUCAAGAUUUAUUUUUCUACCAUUUUAAAAUUUGUAAGAUAUACCUAAAUUUCAUAGUUAAAAAUAUACAUUUCAGUAAAACAUCUUUCAUUUUUGAAAUUAAAAUUUUUUUCUAUUUUUCCUACUCAUAAAUGAAAGUGAACUUUUAUUAAGGGUUCAGAAAAGAGCAAACACAGCUCAAUGCUGAGAACACUGGCUGAGAGAUUAUAAAGGCCUGUCACAGAUAAUUUGCCACCUACCAAAGUAGAAUUUCUCUAACCCUUGGUUUUACUAUGAUAGACUAUAAAGUGAGGAAAGUGAGACCAUGUGUUCUUAGCAUUUUUGAGAGAAUUAAGUGAGUUUGGACACAUUUCCAGAGUAGAGCAAGACUUAUGCAAACUACUAUUAAGCAGUUACUUCCAUAGAGAUUUAGGACACCCACUCAAGUAUUGAUAUAGUUUAUGACACAUUAAAAAGAAAAAUACGUUAAUGCUAUCAACUAAAAUCUAUCUGAGUUUAGUGGAACACUAUGCCUAAUUCUCUCUAUGUCCAAACUUGUCCCUUUAUCAGGUAGUGAAAACAAAUAUCAGAUGACCCUACACAGGGUGAUUACCAUUCACCCCUCCAUCAGAUUCUCCUGUCCAAGGGCUAGAUCUGAAGAAUAAUAAUCUUAAGAAUGACAGGAAAUCCUAAAAGGGCUAAGGUUUUUUGUUUUCCUAGAUGAAAAUAAGAAUAAUCAUUCCCUGAAAUUAAUACAUUUAACCAUUUCUGAGCUUUACUACUGAACAGGGAAACUGAAACAGAAAACAAAGUAACAAUACAUAUAAAGCAUUAGACUCAAAGUUUUAAAAACUAAGUACAUUUUACUCUUUUCACUCAAAAUUAUAUCCUUAAAAAUAAUAAUACUUCAUCUCUCAUUAUUUGUUCAGUAAGAAAAUUUAGUAAAUUACUCCUUUUAGAAAUCUAUUAAUAACCAAUACUGACGUGAGAAUUCCAUGAGCUCUUUCCAGGAGUUUGCUGCUUGCUGAAUUAGCAAAUAUCCCAUCUUUAUCAAGCAAGGAAGUAUUGUUAGUUGGUAGUCUGCUUUGGCGAAUUCCAGUUCUGACAUUCCAGGCAAUAUCAAAUGUAUCACUGAAAAAAAUUAGUAUAAUUUGCUUAAGUUAAUUAUCUCUAUAUUAUUCUAUUAAUAGAAAAUAUAUUAUAGAAAUGACAUUAAAAGAAGCUAAGCAGAAUAAAAUGGUUUUAUUAUAAUGACUACCAAUCACGUGGAACCUCUCUGUCACUCAGAAAAAAGUUUUAGUGGAUUCAGACACAUUCAUGAACAAAUGUACAGGUAACUGAAUACAUCAUAUAGGUGACAUCAUUGACAUAGUGUUUUAUGUGAGUUGUAUAUUUUAAUACAUUAUAGACUCUAUGAUGCCUUUCUUCUUUUCUAGAACUUUCAAAAGCUCCCUUUGGAAUUUAUAAUACUAAUAGUCCACAUGAAUCUAUGGAAUAUCCUUCUUUCUGAAACAUCUUAUUCAUAAACACACAUGCUCCUGAUACUUCAACCAAAUAUAUUAAGCUGUUGCUACAGACUGAGUGCUAUUAUCAGCACUAGAGGUAGAGGAAUGAACAAAUUACCAGUAAUUAUAGCAUGAUAUUUAAUGAAGGGCUUUCCAGGAAAAGGUAGUAACAUUUAAAUCUCUACAGAAGCCAUUAAAAAAUACAAAUAUUUCAAAGGAAUUAACACUUAAGAACAAGGAAAAUAAACUGAGAACAGUCUUUGCAAUAUGGGUGGCAUAUUAAUUUCCCAGGCUUUGUUCUUUAUGUGGACAAGGAAUGAAAGAGAAUCUGUAUUACAAUAUGCACAGGUGAGGAGGACAGUAAUAAUACACACACCUAGGGGCAAUAUUAAAAAUAGAGGUACUGAGUCUUUUUAUUUUCCAACCAUGAGAACAGCAGAGGUUAUAGAAUCCAAGUAGGCAGGUGGCAUCUCUAUGGGGGACAAUUUUGUCAAGGGAGAGGGGGAAACACAGUGAAGUUUCAGAUGACCUCCCAUACUCAAACUGAUACUGCUCCUCAAUCUUAAACAUAAAGAGUUGACCAAUGCUCACUAGACAGCCACAGAAAGCACCUAGCAUGAAAAAGAAGCCAAAACAAUCAAAACAAAAAGACUUGAAGGAGGCCAGGCAAGAUGGUUCCAUCCCUCUGGAGGAGGUGGCAGAAGGAUCUCUGGGAAUUUGGGGUCAACCUAUUCUAUUUAGUGAGUUCCAGCACACCCAAAGCUACAGAGAUCCUGUCUCGAAAAACAAAAUUAAAACAAAAACAAACAGCAAAAAACCUAGGAAGAAAACCAUCUAGGUAUGAGGAGAAAGGGGGUACAAGUAAUAUUCUUAAGAGGAAGGAAAGAAUCCUAUAAAUAAGAGAAGGAAAACUUGAAACUCUUGAAAAUUAAGUAACACUAGUACUAAUAACCUAUGAGCAUGUAGAAUAUAUUCAAAUACAUGUCAAUUAUUUUUCUAUCACUGCACAUACAGCAUUAGAAAACCAAACUAAAAUCCUUACCAUCAUGAGGUUUAUAAGUAUAAUGAGACUACUAAGCAUAUAGGAAGCCGUGUUCUGGGUCAAGUAACCAGAUGAAGGAGAAAAACUAAACAAAAUAAAAUAACCUUUUAAAAUACAGUAGUUAAGAAAGGCCUCAUAGAAAAGGUUCAGCUUAAAUAAAGAUGUCAUGUGUAGCAAUACAGGCCUGUAAUCCUAAAACUGGGAAAGUGGGCAGGAGGUUCAUGAAUUAUGGGUCAGACACGGUUACACUGAGGAGCUCAAAAACAGCCUUAGUAUUAUAUAAAAAGACUGUCACAAAAAUAUUUUGGAUUAAUUAGAUAGAAAUUAGAAAGAAAAAAAGAAAAUGAAGCAAUUAGCUAGUUGAAAAAGAACAAACACAAAAUUCCUAAGAUGGACUGCUACUGAUAAGUCUGAGAUACACUGAGAAAGAAGCCAUGAUACAAUGUGCCUUCUUAGGGAGCCUAUGGAUUUUGGCUUUACUGGAAUGGAUGAGAGAAAAACAUGGGGAUUUUAAGUAAAACAUUAACAUGGCCCAUCUUAUAAAACAAUCAUCUGACUACUGUAGAAAAUACAGCUUUGGAAGCCAAGGACAAAGCCAAGUUAAGUUAGAAUAAUCCAUGCAAAAUGGAAUUACAGCUUGAACUGAAGUGAUGACGAAAGAGUACUGAUUAUAACAAUUCCCAACUCUCAUUUGAGGUGAAAGCUAGCCUGGCUUGAUGAUACAGCAAAUGUAUAUUGUCUGAGAGACAAUUACACAUCACUCCAACCAGUACCAACAACCUUAGGGGUAAAGAAAUGAGAGAGAUAAAGAAAACCAAAAAAGAGACAGAAAAUCAAAUAAAAGAGGACAACAAGGAGCCCAAAUGCUUUAGUAAAGACUGUCUAAAACACCAGCACAUGGAAGAGUGGAAUUAACCCAGAAAAGUCUUAGGAACCAGAAAAUUGCACCUUAAAAAGGAACAAACAACAAAGCACAUGGCCAAAUGCAUGUGGAACAAUAUAUUCCUAGUAAUUAAAAAAAAGAAAGGUAUAAAAAAUUAGCCAUAACACUUUUAAUCAAAAGCCAGAUAAUUGUACACUUCUACAAAUCCUAGCAUUUGAGAAACUUAAGCAGGAGUAUUAUCUGAAUUCAAGGCCAGUCUGGACUACAUACCAAUAUCAUGUCUCAAACAAAAUAAAAGAAAAUGACAAAGAAAAAAUAAAAAUUUGAUCAUCAGCAUAAAGUGAAGAAGUCUUAACUAAACAACAAUUUAAAAAGUUAAAAGCAUUUAAUUCAAGACCAUCAGCUCAUUAAGUAUCACAGUGAUGUCAAGACCUUACAACAAAGGCCUAUAUUUCACUUACUUAAGAGCAAAGGCAGGAGGAUCACAAGCUCAAGGCCUGCUUGGGCUACAAUGUGAGAUGAAGAUCAGCUGGGGCAAUUUAGUGUGAUCUUACCAAAAUCAAACACAGCAAAAAAAGGGCUGGGACUGAGGAUAUAGUUCAGUGUAGAGUGCUGGCCUAGCAUGAACAAGGGUCUAAAUCCAACCCCUGGCACUAGAAUGGGAAAAAAGUUAUGGGAUGAAAUAAUAUUACCUACCUCAAGACAGGCAACAAGUACCCGAUAUGUCUCCUCACUUGAGACAACAUUGCACUAGCUGAAUGCAUUCUAAUAAAACUAUAGUAAUCUCCCUUUCUUCACAAGGAAUAUAUAUUCCAAGUCCACCACAAUCUGUAUUCACUUCUUAUAUAUAAGUACUAUAAUAGCCCCAUAGAUGCAUACAUUUGAAUGCUUGGUCAUUGGGGAGUGGCACUACUUGACAGGGAUUAGGAGGUGUGGUCUUAUAGGAGGAAGUAUGUCACUGGGAGUAGGCUUAUAAGUUUCAAAAGCCCAAACAAGGCUCAGAAGCACAGUACUCAGCAAGCUUACAGUACAGUUAAAUGCUUUCUUUAAUAAGAGCUGCCAUGGUCAUGGUGUCUCCUCAAAGCAAUGAAUACUGUGACAAAUACUUAUGAUGUUUCAUUUCUAAUUGAGCCAUGGUAAGAAACUGGCAAUGUUAAUAAUAAAAUAGAGCAGUGCAUAGGUGGCCCUGCCUUUAAUCUCAGCAUGUGGAAGAUAAGAGGCAGGUGGAUCUCUAUAAGUUCAAAGCUAGUCUGGUCUACAGAGCAAGUUCCAGGAAAGCCAGGGCUACACAGAAAAUACUGUUAUGAAAAACUGAAAAAAAUAAAUAAAAAAUAAAAUAGAACCAUGGUAAGAAUCAACAGUCAUAAGAUAAAGAGUAGCACAUAAUUUUAAAUUGGGGAAUUUUUUAUUUUUAGAAUUCCCUAGGUAAUAUUUCUGAGGCUCAGUCAACCAUGAAUAAAUGAAAAGUAGAAAGUAAAACUAAACGAAAGUGACUGUGUUUUAGAAAUUGAAGGUCUACCGACAGCCUGUAACUUCCAGGGAAAGGUUUCUUUGCUCAACCUCAACUAAGCCUGGUCAUCUAGCAGCUAUUUAACCUUACACAAGAGAGGUAGGAAAGAGUGUGUGCAUCUUCUUGGAAUAGCUUUCAAAUAGCUCACAGCCAACAUGGGACAAAAGAACACUCUACUCCAUAUAUUAGAGAUUUAUGCAAUGAUACAUGCUUUAAUCAUGCAGAAAAAAAAAAAAAAACAAAUACACAGCGAGCGCCAUUGUAACUUCUACACUGCUCCAAGCUCGAAUGACUUCAGUGGACUUAAAAAGUAAUCACCAUUUCUAGCCCCAGCCUUCAACAUUCUCCCUUUCUGUUUUGGAGAUUAGAUAUUAACAAUAACUCACAUUCGUGCAUAAAAUUAGAAAAUAACUGUAAAUGUCCAAGGGAAAGAAAUAUAAGAUAGCUGAAAAGUCCUUAGCUGUAUACCUUAAACUGUUCUUGGGCACAGAAACAUCUACAGUUGAAAAAACAAGCAAACAGAAGAAGAAGAGAAAAACAAACCAAAUCAAAGAACAGAUGACAUGUGCAAAGGAAGACUUAUCUGAUAUCUAUUUACCACAUUAUGUUCAAAUGCUCACUGCAUCAAAAAUCAAAAAAUAAAAAUUAGAAAUCACACACACACACCAAACUCAGAAAGCAUGGCCUAUUGAGAGGGAAAAAACAAAUCAAAAGAAACUAUCUCUGAAAAAGAUGUCUUGGCAGAUACACAAGUAAAAGACAUGAAAAACUGUUAAAGCCUGGUGUGGAGUGAUUCAGGUCUAUAUUCCCAACACUUCAGAGUUGGAGGAUCAGAAAGUCAAGGCCAUCUCUGGUUACAUAGCAAGUUCUAAGACAGACUAUACUAUAUGAUACACUGUCUCAAACAAACCAAGAAGCAAACAGAAUAGAAAUCCCAGGGUGGGAAUAGCAAGAUAGCCCAGAGAAUAAGGCGCUUGCUGUCAAGACUGAUUAUAUUAGUUUGAUAUCUGGGUCCUGCAUGGGUGAAAGAGAGAAACUCGCCCACCAAGUUUUUCUCUCAUUUUCAAACACAUCCUAAGCACAUUUCCCAACCCCAACAAAGACAAAGUAAAUAAAAUUUAAAAGCAAAACAAUCUGUGAAUAGGAGAGUCAACUCAGUGCUUUAUGUACUUGCUGUACAAGCCUGAGGAUCUGAGAAAGAGCCCCAUGACUAAUGUAAGAGCUAGAUGCCAUACCUAUAACCAAGUACGCCCAUGCAGACACAAGGCAACCUCCAGACACCUGUGAGCCUGAUAACCUGAUACAUACAGUAGUGAAAACAAAGAGGUCCAGCCACCUCAAAAACGGUAAACUGACAUCCAAGGCUACCUUCUGAGCAUCACACAUGUGCCAUGAUACAGUCACCCUUACCCACACAGAUAUGACCACAACACACUCUCACAAAUACACAAAAACAAAAUUCUGAGUGUGGCGGCACACACCUAUAAUCCUAGCACUCAGUCUGAAGCAGGAAAAUCACAGGCUGCCAGGCUAUAUAGCAAUGUCCAAAAAUAGAAGAUGGUUAUUCAUUCCAUAUUGCCUUGUAAACAAACAUAUACCAAACUUACUGUUGAUUUUUUUCAUUCAGAGUGUUCAUGCCUUGAAGAUCAGAAAGAGGUGUUCUUGGGUUUUUCCGGGUUAUACCUAACAAAAGGAAAAAAGUAGAAAAUUUAAACAAAUUAGUGCAUGCUCUAAACAAAUUAGGCAUGACUCAUUUCAAGAUAACUUUUCAUGGCAACAGCGUUACCUUUUAAGAAAUAAAUACCAAGGUGUUCAAUGCCAUUAGUUUGUAAGCUAAUCCUUUAUUUCACUAAACUAUCUCAGCACUCUAUUAUGUUUACAUGAACCCAUUUCUGUACUUUUGGUUCACAGACUUCCUUCCCUCCUCUGUUCCCUUCCUUCCAUUUCCCUCCCUUUUUGUAAUACCAUGUAUUAAGUCCAGGGCUUUGGGUAUGCUAUAUAAGAAGAGCCACUCUCCACAGGAAGAUGAGAUUUUAAGUCGGCUACCAGACUCAUCUAAACCAGCUUCCAAAAGACUGAGAAUAAGGAAUUGUUUAUUAGGUCAUUCUAAGUCAGGGUCUCUAAUAAGGCUGUACUCAAGUUGCCAAGCAAAACUGCAGUCCUCCUGGGACUAGAAUGAAGGAAGAUUUACUCUUAGGUCAUCCAGACAAGUUGCUGAGGAAACCCAUUUCCUUAUUAACUAUUGGCUGAAGGCUCUGUUGGAACACUGAAUGGAGCUGCUCACAACAUCAGUAACAGUGGCUUCUCUGACAGAGAUGUAAAAGCUACCAAGUUAAGGCACACAAAAGAUGGCAAUCUUUUCUAAUAAUAUUAGAAGUGACACACUAGCCAAGUUCCUUUGUCACACAGACCCACGCUUGUAAAAUAUAGGAGUGAACUGGCUGCCUCAAAGACAUUUACAAACUUCAUUUUCCAAGUGUUCAGGGCUAAAAAUAAAUUUUGUGUAUGUAUUAGGUACUCUACAAGAUUGCUGAGUUCACGUUUUAGUUCUAAAACGUUUUUUUUAGACUUUUAUCAUUCUAAUAGUCUCAUUAAUUCCUCGCCUUCAAUACCUUUUCUAUGUUUUUGUUGCUGUAUCAAAACAUCUUUACCUUGAUUCUAAGUAUCUGGAGAAAGUCUGCUCUAAGAUUUUCAUGCAAACCUUUAGAAACUGGGGCAAUUUAGUUGCCAAGUUUUAAAAGAACAGGUGCAGAAUUGUGGCAGUCUUUCUUCAUCUCUGAGAUGAUCACAUACUUUUUCUUUUAUACAAUGUUAACAAAGUAAGCUAACUUGAUUGUUGACCUGCUGUGGAUCUCCACUGUCCCCCUAAGGCCAAUGCAUCAGAAGUUUGGCUCUGUCAUGGCUAGGCGUAUGUAUUUGGGUCAUUAAUAGUGCAUAUACAAAGGUGGUGCUGGAACUUCAGCCUCUUCUUGUUUCCUAGCCUUGAAGGGUGUGUUGUUAUGCUACAUGUUCAUCUCACAGUAUGGUGCCCUAUGUAAAGCAGUAGUAUAAACAUACUACAGACUGUUAUUUCCUUUGUUUAUCACUGAUUUUCAGCUCUCAACAUCAUAUGCCUUCUUUUCCCUUUUAAAGGUCUAAUAGGUUGUUUCUCCUAGAUUCUUAAUGUGAAAACUUCAAUCAUCAUUUAUUGCAUUUUUUUUUAGGAUCCCCCUACCUCCCACCCCACCCCCCAAGGUUUCAUAUUUCCAUUCAUUCUGCUGUCCCUCCGGGCUUCUCUCCUGUGCCCCACUGCUAUACCUGAUCAUGAUCCCCUCUUCCCCUCCAGCUCCCCCUCCUCUCUCCUACCCAGGUCCCUCCCUCCCUCUGCCUCCAGUGAUUGCUUUCUUCUCCCUUCCAAGUGGGAUUGAAGUAUCCUCACUUAGGCCAUUUUGCUUGUUAACCUUAUUGAGUUCUCUGGAUUGUAUCCCAGGUAUUCUAUACAUUUUUGGCUAAUAUCCCCUUAUUAGUAAGUAUAUACCAUGCAUGUCCUUUUGGGUCUGAAUUACCUCACUCAGGAUGAUAUUUUCUAGUUCCAUCCAUUUGCCUGCAAAACUCAUGAUUAACCUCAUUCUUUUUUUUUUGUUGUUGUUAAAAUUAAUGUAUUUGUAACUAUUUUCUUUCUUUCUUUUUUUUUUUUUUUUUUUUUUUUUUUUUAGGGCACCAGUCAUUUAUUUUAUCUCAAGUAUUCUUUUUGUAAAUGUUUUUUUUUUUGAGUACAGCCCCAUUAUAAUUCUGAAUGGAUUGUACAGAAAUAACAAUUUCUUUAAAGGCUAUAUAAUACUCCUUUGUUCUGCAUAAAACAGGGCAAGUGUCCUAUUAUAUUGCAAAACUAUUUUCACUAAUGAAUCUAACAGUUGACAAAUCUGGGCUCACUUUUCUGGUAUGUCAAUUGGCAUUAUAGGUAGCCAUUUUGUUCCCUAUGCCAGGAAGUUUCCUUUUUUUCUUUUUUUUUUUUUGUUUUUUUUUGUUUUGUUUUUAAUUUUUUUUAAUUUAUUUAAUACGUAAUAAUAAUUCUUUGGUUUCCGGGUAAACAUCCCCCUCCCCCCUCCCCUUCCUUAUGGGUGUUCCCCUCCCAACCAUCCCCCCAUUGCCGCCCUACCCCCAACAGUCUAGUUCACUGGGGAUUAACCUCAUUCUUAAUAGCUGAAUAGUAUUCGACUGUAUAAACGAACCACAUUUUCUGUAUUCCUCCAUCUGUUGUGGGACAUCUGGGUUGUUUCCAGCUUCUGGUUAUCAUAGAUAAGGCUGCUGUAAACAUAGUGGAGCACAUGUCCCUGUGGCAUGGUAGGGCAUCUUUUUGGUAUAUGCCAAAGAAUGAUAUAGCUGGGUCUUCAGGUCUAUUACCAAAUUUUUGAAGAACCUCCACACUGUUUGCAGAGUGGUUAUACCACUUUUUUUUUUUUAAUGUAAGAAUUUAAGAGCUAGAGAGAUGGCUCGGUGGUUAAGAGCACUUAUUGCGGGGGUUGAGGAUUUAGCUCAGUGUUAGAGCGCUUGCUUAGCAAGCACAAGGCCCUGGGUUUGGUCCCCAGCUCCGGAAAAAAAAAAAAAAAAGAAGAAGAAGAAAAAAAAAGAGCACUUAUUGCCCUUCAGGAGGACCUGAGUUCAAUUCCCAUCACCCACAUCACCAAUUCACAAAUGCCUGUAACUCCAAGGAAUCUGACAUCCUCUUCUGGCUUCCAAAGCACCUGGAUGUAUGUAUGUAUGUAUGUAUGUGCGAUACAUAUAUAUGUAUAUAUCAUACACCCCUAAGUAAAAAGAAAUUAAGAAAAUAAUUUAAAGCUGUAUUUUUUUUCUUUUUAAACAUUUUAGAUGCAUUCUACACAUGUAAUGAGCCAUGAUUGUAUAACAGUGGUAACAAAAUACUUUAAAGCUGCACCUGAAUAUAACUGCAGUGGAAAAUGGAAUAGAUAUAUAAAAUAAAUUAAGGCACCAAUAUUCAGGGAAUUGCCAGUGUAUAACUUCUUCAUACAGCAAACAGACCCAUAAACUACAGUAUGGUCCAGUCUGCAGGUACCAAGUUCAAUCAUGAAGAAACAAAUAAAACAACUGAACCACAUACAGCUACUUUAGAUUUAAGUUCUUUUAAGCUGGCCUCAAAAGACUGUUUUUGAAAGAUUAAGAAUAUAAAAUGAACAUCAAAAUGAGGACUGUGUAUCUUUAGAAAUAAUUUCAAUAAUUAAGAAUAAAUUCUAAAGACAUCUUUUUAACAACAUGACUUACCUUUAUUCUUCCUACAAGGAAAAAUACAAGAUACAUUUUCUUAUACCAACACAGUGAAAAAGAACUUACUGCACUUAAUUCUAAGCACUUCUUAAAUUGUUCUUUUAUUAAGUAAACUAUUAUGGAUUUCCAACUAGAAAACUCUAAUAAAAGUAGUAAAGAAAAUGCAUGGCAAUUUACUAAAUGUACAAUGCAAAUCUUGAGUAAAUUUGGCCCACUAUAAACAAAUGAUUUAAUUUUCUGAAAAACUCAUUUAUUAUCACAAUACGAGUACACCCAAUUAUUGAAACCACAUAGCAGACCAAAGAACCUAUUUCAACCAAAGAACCUAUUUCAUGUAAACUAACAAAAGCCAAGGAAGAAAUGGAGACCAAAUGCAUUCUUUAUAUCAAUUUUAAACAAUAAACAUAUGUGUAUUCUAAAUGUUACUCUUUGUGCUGAAAUUCUGAUGUGGUGAGUUCUCUUAUAUCAGACAUAGAAAGUCUGAGUCAAGGAUUAGAGUCAACUUAAAUGCAUCCUCUAGAGAUUCACAAUUAUAGCAUGCUGAUGUGGGCAUCAAACAUAAACAAGUACAAAAUUUAGCUAGAUAUGAGGAAGCUUUGGGGAGUUUUGAAUAUCAUAAUCACUGUGUUAAUUUCAUGAGUUUACCAAAUUGUUCUCUUGUUUUACUUUAAUUACAUUUCACUAAAAUAUUCAAAAAACAAGUAAGAGAAAGUUUACUGCUGAUUUCUAUGCAAUUAAUCAGAUAUUUCCAACACAAAAUUGGAAACCAAUUCAGUGAGGGUGGCCUAGAUAAUUAACAGUGAGGUGUACAGUGAGUGGGACAGUUAAAAUCAAUCACAUUAAAGGACAGGUAUAUCAGCACUUUCCAGAGAAAGCAGUAGAGUCUGCGUAAAGAACUGUGAAGGGCGUGUCCUAUGCAAUCUCCAUGCUACACUCAUGAAUGCUCUUGAUUUCCAUUUCCAAAUAGAUGUGACAACAUAGGGUUAAGAGGAUUUGAAGCCUUACUGUACUUCUCUUCCUUGCACCUCUGCAGAAUCUCUAAGCUCCUCUGGUGGACUGGGUGUUGGAGAAAGCUAAAACUAUCCAUACUUUUCAAAAUUGUACAUGGUGUUGUAUCAUCAUGUCCUUAAGAUGCAAAACAAAAUAAAAAAUGGAAAAAAGAAAAAGAUAUUAUGUAGGCCAAAACCAAUAUAAGAAUCAAACACGAUGAUACCAACUAUCUUGAUAUAUUUUAAAAUAUUAAGUAAUGUGAAGGAUUCUCACCAACUAACAAAUAAUAGGAAAAAAACAAAUAUUCUUUUCAAAUAUGCUAAACAUUUAUUUUAUUAAUCAAAGUAUUCUGAGCUAAUGCUAUAUUAAAAUUUCUAGAUUAUAAGGAACAUUUCAAACAAGUAGUAUCAUCUGGUUGUUCUUGGAAAAUUAUUCCUUUCUGGAAUAUUUUUAGCAUAUACUUGGCAACAUUGAUAGAAUCCGAGAGAAAUUAUACCCAAACAAUUACAGAAAAAUGUACCCUGUCUUCUACAAAUCUGGCAGUCAGGUACACUUGUCUCGUCAGUGUCUGUCGAGUGUGUGCUGAGAGGAAGUAGUAGCACACCACAGAGGGGCUCCUGAGCAGCACUCUGCAUUCAUAAACCUGAAAAAAUAGCUGGAGAACCCACACCGCCCCACUGGAAAGGAGAUAAAGUGAAUGACGAGCAGAACAGAGAAGAGACAGUAAAGACAAAAGCACUCAGAUAAGUGCGAACCAAAUGAGUCACCUGAACAGUAAGGCAUGGAAAAGGGGUGAUUUCAAUACUAUAAAUAUCAGCAAGAAAUGGAUUUAAGGUAGAAUACAGAGGGGCUGGGGAUUUAGCUCAGUGGUAGAGCACUUGCCUAGCAAGCACAAGGCCCUGGGUUCGGUCCCCAGUUCCGGGAAAAAAAAAAAAAAAAAAAAGUAGAAUACAGAGUUUCCACAUUUCAGAAGAGAUAAACUCUUGGGUAUCAUUAUCUCAGAGAUUACCUUAAGAGUUAGGAAGGAAUGGCUACAUUUAACAAUUUUGCUUCUAAAAAUGACAACAAUAUAAUCUACAGACAAACUAAGUGAAAUAAUGAACUGAAGUUCCAUUAGUGCACUUCACUGUACAAUUAGGAAUGGGUCUCAAUGUCAUAAAUUACAAAUAUUUCUCAAGAUAAUAAUUUUAAAGCUCAUAGAAAGACUAAUUCAAAAACUCUUGCAAAGUAUUUUUUCAUUUCAUUGAAAUUUCCUAGCCUAGAUUUCUAAAUUUAGAAAAUACUACCUACACUUAUAAGAGAAGACAUAAUCUUAUUAAUCAUCAGUUAGUACAAAAAAGUAGCAGUCUUUUUUAAAAUAGGAAAUCCACUUCAAGAAUUUUAUCACACUGAAAAACUAAAAUGUUAUAGUAAAAAACAUCAUUUAGCAGAGAAAAUGUAAUCUUGUAUUAAUCAGAUAAUACAUAAAAAUCUCAGACUUAAAAAACUCUACUUCAAACAUUUUAACGAGAUGAUAAUAAAAAGUAACUUUUUAAAUGGAUCAUUUAGCCAAGAUGAGAAUCAAUAAUUUGAAAUAUUUACGUUUUUAUAAAAUGACUGCUUAAUGUCACUUCAUUGUCACAAGAUACUUUAAUAGAAAAUACUCGAUUUUCAUUAUUACCAGUAAUUUACCUCUGCUGGCCAGGUAUCAGACUAGCCUACACAUGGCCAGUCAGGUAAAGUGGACAAGUUUGUAGAGUAGAGAAAGAAGAUACUAUGCGAACUAUAUUUAUAAUUCUCUCAAUCAAUUGAUAAAUUAUUUAAUUUUGUUACAUUUUUCUGGUUUUGCUUGUUUUUUAACUCUGUACUCAUUUAUGAUGCCCUGCUUACAUUGUGUUUAUCCUUUUAGCCAAGCCUCCUUAGAAACAGUAGAACACGGGGUUAAUUCUUUGCCAUUUUGAUAGAUAAUACAGGUGUUUUGAAAGCUAUAAACCUGUCCAUAAGCAGUUUUUGUUUUAUCUUCUAUAUAUUGUUAUAUACUUUCUGGUUUUCUCCUAGUAGUGUGUAAAACACCUAUAUAAUUACUUAUAUAACCAAGAAUCAUUUUUAGGCAAAACUUCUAUGGUCCUCUGGCCCAAAAAUAGAGUAUGGAAGGACAUAAACUAAUCAAACAGGAAUUAAUUAGUACAGACUGUGUUUGUUCAUUCUUAUCUCCUACUCAAAGUAUCUUCUACCUUUUCUUGUGAUUUUUUUCUUGAACUCUUUAUAUGGAAGGAUGUUAUUUGCUUUCUACCUAUUGUCGUUUUUAUUUUUCUUUUCCUUCAAUCACUACCCUCUUUUAUAUCAAACACAUUUUUUAAAAUUAGUUAACAGUUGAUAUGAAAAUUAUAAUUAAAAUAGUAAUUUAUAUCUAGUCUAAGUUAAAAAACAACUUCAAAUGCUUGAAAAGUGGCCCUUAUCACUUUCUCUACACUGUUACUAUUAAACAAGCUUUAUCUUUUAAACAGUAAGAUCAUCAGCACAGAAUCAGUUAGUACUUUAAGCAGCUGUCUCUCAGAUUGGAGUGCUAGAAAAUGUAAAAAUUACGUUUACUCCACCUUUUUGUAGUUAACUAUAAUAGUGCUCUUUAUUUCUUCCCUAAUGUUUCUAUUAUUCCUUUUUAAAACUGUAUUUAUGUGUAUGUAUCUAUUUUUGUGUAUAUGUGGACACUUGAGUGUAACUCUAUCCAGAAGAGGACAUUUGAUUUCCCCCUAGAGCUGGAGUUGCCAGUGGUUGUGAACCACCUAACAUAGACCCUGGGACGUGAACUCAGGUCCUCUGGAAAAGCAGCAAGUGCACUUAGCUGCUGAGUCACCUCCCCAGGUCAUUACUAUCAUCUUAACCAUUUCAACCACAAGAACUCCCUUUGAUACUUCCCAAGGUAGUGUGGUAGUUUGACUAAGAAUAGUCCCUAUAGGUUCAUUAUGUUUGAAUGCUUUGUCACUAGGGAAUGGGGCUACUUUGCAGGGUUUAGGAGGUGUGGCCUUAUGGGAGUACAUGUGGCUUUGUUAGAAAAAGUAUGUCAUGGAUGGGAGAGGGGCUUUGUAGUUUCAAAUGCUCAAGGUAGGCCCAGUAUUUCUCUCUUCCUGCUGCCUGCCCAUCUGGAUGUAGAAGUCUUAACUACCUUCCCAGAACUAUGUCUGCCUGCUUAUUGCCACAAUUCAAGCCAUGACAACAAUGAACUAAAGCUCUGAAGCCAACCCCAAUUAAACGGUGUCCUGGUGUCCUGGUGUCUCUUUACAGCAUAGAACACUGACUAAGGCAAUGGCAAAGACUACUAAUAAUCAAGUCACGUAGGAUUCCCCAGGAUGUUUUUCUGCUUCUGUUGUUGGGUUAUUUUGUUUUGUGUUUGAGACAGUAUCUCUCUAAAUAGCCCUGCUUCUCCUCAAACUCACUAUGUAGACUAAACUGGCAUGGAAGUUAAGUGUCUGACUCACUCUACCUCCCAGGUAAAAAAUCAGAACUUAAGUUUAAAAGCUGACUUUGAAGGUUUGUUUACUCCUAUGACAUACAACUUAAUUUGGAACCACAGAAGAAUAAGGAAGCACUCAUAUAAUCCUCCUGAAAGGCAUGUGUCAACUACAUAAAAAUCAGAAGAUUCUAACUAUACACAUUCCAAAUGGCCACAUGUGCCUAUGAACUUGAUCUCAUGCACAUGGAGUGUCUCGUGGCUUAAAGAAAAAGGAAGUAGGGGCUGGGGAUUUAGCUCAGUGGUAGAGCGCUUGCCUAGGAAGCGCAAGGCCCUGGGUUCGGUCCCCAGCUCCGAAAAAAAGAACCAAAAAAAAAAAAAAAAAAAAAAAAGAAAAAGAAAAAGGAAGUACCCAAGAAAAAAAUCAUUUAUAAAUUUCAAACUAAAAACUCAAUAAAAAGAAUUAUCAGGUUAAAAAAAAAAAAACCUUAAUGAACAGAUCAUCCUUUAAUAGAAAAGAAAAAGUGCUUUUACUUACAAAAUUGGUCAACAGAUAAGGUGACUGGGGCAGGAGACUCAUCAAAUUACACUCCCUGACCCCAACAUUUUGUUUCCUACUUUGCUUUUUCAUAUUAAAUUAUGAUUGAAUUUGUAGAAAAAAACACAGAAAACACGAAAUGGAGAAAACAUUAAAAUCAAAUUCCGAAUCAUUAUAUGAUUAUCAGCAUACAUUUUUGUUCAUAACUACUACUGUGAUGAUUUUCAUGAGAGUAGCCCCUGUGCACUCAAUAUAUUUGAAUACUUGGUCUACAGUUGGUGAAAUUGUUUGAGAAGAAUUAGUAGGCGUGACCUUCUUGGAAGAGGUGUCACUGAGUCUGGGCUUCUGAGCUUUGAAAACCUCAUGCCAGGCCCAGUUUCACUGUCUGCCUGCACCUUUCAGAUCAGAUAUAAGCACUCGGAUAUUGCCCAAGUACCAUGCUUGCCUACACCAUAAUGACCAUGGACUAACCCUCCAAAACUAUAAACAAGCCCCCAAUUAGAUGUUCCCCUUUAUAACCAGCCUUGGUCAUGCUGUUUCAUCACACAAUAGCAACCCUAACUAAGACACUCAUUAUACUUAUCAAUAUCUAUUAUGAAAAUAUAGCAACAUAUACCUACACACUUACAGAAACAUACACCUAAUCACUUAAAGGUGUGAUUUAUCAGCUAUAAAACAUGAUUACAGGAUAUGGCAAGGAAACAGAACAAAAUAAAAAGUAUUAUCAUGGAAGAAUACUAGCAAGAUUGGCUUACCACUUUUUCUCUGAAUAUGUCUUUUCCCAGCUUCCCUGAAAGCAACCACAGCUCUAAAAAAUGCUCGGAGAACUGCCCAUCGGAAAACAGCUACGGGAUCAAUGCCAGUCAUCCCAGAAACAAAAGCAUUCCUGCUACUUCUCAGAAGAGCCACAAUGUCUGGACGCAUAUGAUCUGUAUUUUUUUCCCGAAAAUCCUAUGAAAAAAGUACCAAUGUUAUUUCUGAAAAAGACUACUAAAAUCAAGAAGAUAGUAGUUCAUGAUGUGAGCACCUCGGCUUCUCCUUCAGCUGCCAUGCCUGCUGCUUCCCUACCAUGAUAGACUCUUACCUUUCUGGAAUGGUAAGACCAAAUAAACUUUUUCUUCUAUAAA